AUAAAAGAUGAUUGGCAUUGAAAAGAUAGUUUGUUAUAGUUUGCAAGAGGAGGAGGCAUGCCAUGCCAUGCAGGGCCAGAUGGGGAAGCACAGGGGUAGGUCAGAAUGCAGAAGGAGUGAGGGGAAAGCAUGGGCCAGGGCCUUUAUUGUGGUUCUUGUGGGAAGGAUUGGGAAAGGCAGAGUAUAAGUAGCUGAACAAGUUUAGUUUGAGUAAUUUCUGCAGGCUCUGAGAUAUAAGGGUGGUUCCUAGUUGUCUGGUACCUGGUCCUGGGGUGAUUUAGGCCUGGGAGAUAGUGUACCAGAUUGCAGGAGUCUCAUAAAAGUUGUCAAAAUAUCAUAAAAAACAUGAUUAAUAUACUGACAUACCAUGUGUUUAUUUAUCUUUAAUUACCUGUGUCCCUCCAUAGAAUACAAGCUCUGUGCGGCAGCUCUUUGUCUACUUUAUUUCUGCAGCAGUCCGAGAACUUAGAAUGGUACCUGCACAUGAUGAUUAUUUGUUGAGUCAAGGAGAGAUCUAAUUCCCAGUUGAUUGUUCAGGCCCUCCUUAAAUCUUGCCUGGAUUAUGAACGUUGGGACUUCCCUACUGGCACAGUGGUUAAGAAUCUGCCUGCCAGUGCAGGGAACACAGGUUCCAGCCCUGGUCCGGGAAAAUCCCACAUGCUGUGAAGCAACUAAGCCCGUGCACCACAACCACUGAGCCUGCACUCUAGAGCCCGUGAGCUACAACUACUGAGCCCGUGUGCCACAACUACUGAAACCAGCGCACCUAGAACCUGUGCUCCACAACAAGAGAAGCCACUGCAAUGAGGAGCCCACACAUUUCAAUGAAGAGUAGCCCCUGCUCACUGCACCUAGAGAAAGCCCGUGCACAGCAAUGAAGACCCAAUGCAGCCAAAAAUAAAUAAAUAAAUAAUAAUAAAAAGAAAAAUUUACAGGGCUUCCCUGGUGGCGCAGUGGUUGCACGUCCGCCUGCCGAUGCAGGGGAACCGGGUUCGCGCCUCGGUAUGGGAGGAUCCCACAUGCCGCGGAGCGGCUGGGCCCGUGAGUCAUGGCC